GAGAGAGGAAGAAAUCAAAGAGUUCGUGGACAAGGGGCCCGUCAGAGAGGUGGGCAUGGGCCCCAUCAAAGUGGUGGACAUCAGAGAGGGAGGCAGACGAACACCGUGGGGGAAACAUCUCCAUGUGCGCAGCUAUUUCUGAAGAUGGUGUGGCUAAUACUCCUGCGGGUGCAGCUGAUAGUGUCCUCUGCUCUGAGGGAAUGGCCACUUCCACUGGCUUCCAGGUCAUGCCAUUUUGCUGCUGGUUGACUGUCUCUCACUGCUGAGGAUGUCAGGCCUUCCCCCUCCCUCUACAGAGUGUCCUCAUCAGAGCGGAAUGAACCUGGCGCUGACACUAAUAAAGAAUACCAUCUGUGCCUGGCAGGCGGAAGG